rnacentral:rRNA from 1 species
CACUCCUACGGGAGGCAGCAGUGGGGAAUAUUGGACAAUGGGCGCAAGCCUGAUCCAGCCAUGCCGCGUGAGUGAUGAAGGCCCUAGGGUUGUAAAGCUCUUUCACCGGAGAAGAUAAUGACGGUAUCCGGAGAAGAAGCCCCGGCUAACUUCGUGCCAGCAGCCGCGGUAAUACGAAGGGGGCUAGCGUUGUUCGGAAUUACUGGGCGUAAAGCGCACGUAGGCGGAUCGAUCAGUCAGGGGUGAAAUCCCAGGGCUCAACCCUGGAACUGCCUUUGAUACUGUCGAUCUGGAGUAUGGAAGAGGUGAGUGGAAUUCCGAGUGUAGAGGUGAAAUUCGUAGAUAUUCGGAGGAACACCAGUGGCGAAGGCGGCUCACUGGUCCAUUACUGACGCUGAGGUGCGAAAGCGUGGGGAGCAAACAGGAUUAGAUACCCGUGUAGUCCCA